rnacentral:rRNA from 1 species
GACGAACGCUGGCGGCGCGCUUAACACAUGCAAGUCGAGCGAGAACCUGGGCUUCGGCCCAGGGGACAGCGGCGAACGGGUGAGUAUCACGUGGAUAACCUGCCCUCGGCACCGGGAUAGCCCGGGGAAACUCGGAUUAAUACCGGAUAGCCAUUCCGACUCUCGGGUCGGUCUGAAAAGGUAGCUUCGGCCUCUGGCCGAGGAUGGGUCCGCGGCGGAUUAGCUUGUUGGUGGGGUAACGGCCUACCAAGGCGACGAUCCGUAGCUGGUCUGAGAGGACGAUCAGCCACACUGGGACUGAGACACGGCCCAGACUCCUACGGGAGGCAGCAGUGGGGAAUCUUGCGCAAUGGGCGAAAGCCUGACGCAGCGACGCCGCGUGAGGGAGGAAGGCCUUCGGGUUGUAAACCUCUUUCAGGAGGGACGAAGCUACUCGGGUGAAUAGCCCAGAGGGUGACGGUACCUCCAGAAGAAGCCCCGGCUAACUACGUGCCAGCCGCCGCGGUAAGAC